rnacentral:rRNA from 1 species
UGGGGAAUAUUGGACAAUGGAGGAAACUCUGAUCCAGCAAUUCUGUGUGUGUGAAGAAGGUUUUAGGACUGUAAAACACUUUUAGUAGGGAAGAAAAAAAUGACGGUACCUACAGAAGAAGCAACGGCUAAAUACGUGCCAGCAGCCGCGGUAAUACGUAUGUUGCGAGCGUUAUCCGGAAUUAUUGGGCUUAAAGGGCAUCUAGGCGGUAAGACAAGUUGAAGGUGAAAACCUGUGGCUCAACCAUAGGCUUGCCUACAAAACUGUUGAACUAGAGUACUGGAAAGGUGGGUGGAAAUACACGAGUAGAGGUGAAAUUCGUAGAUAUGUGUAGGAAUGCCGAUGAUGAAGAUAACUCACUGGACAGAAACUGACGCUGAAGUGCGAAAGCUAGGGGAGCAAACAGG